AAGUCGUAACAAGGUUUCCGUAGGUGAACCUGCGGAAGGAUCAUUAUUGAAUAAACUUGAACAGGCUGUUUGCUGGCUCUCUGGAGUAUUGUGCACGCUUGUCAUCUUUAUAUUCCCCAACUGUGCACCUAUUGUAGAUCUGGGAGUUGUUUUUGAAUGUUUCGAUUGAGGAUUGCUGUGCUUCAAGCCAGCUUUGCCUUGCAUUUCCAGGUCUAUGUUUUUGUUUUCACAAUCACCAAGUGUGUUUAGAAUGUUGAAUUGGGUCAUUUGUACCUAUAAAAAGUUAAAUACAACUUUCAGCAACGGAUCUCUUGGCUCUC
rnacentral:misc_RNA from 1 species